rnacentral:rRNA from 1 species
AAUCAACGCUGGCGGCGUGCCUAACACAUGCAAGUCGAACGCGAAAGUCUCGCAAGGGACAAGUAGAGUGGCGAACGGGUGAGUAACACGUGGGUGACCUACCUUCGAGUGGGGGAUAACGUCCCGAAAGGGACGCUAAUACCGCAUAACAUCCUGCCUUUGAACAGGUGGAGGUCAAAGCCGGGGAUAGCAAGAACUGGCGUUUGAAGAUGGGGCCGGGUCUGAUUAGCUAGUUGGUGAGGUAAAGGCCUACCAAGGCUUCGAUGGUUAGCGAGUCUAAGAGGAUGGCCAGCCACACUGAAACUGAGACACGGUCCAGACUCCUACGGGAGGCAGCAGUGGGGAAUCUUGCGCAAUGGGGGAAACCCUGACGCAGUAACGCCGCGUGGGUGAUGAAGGCCUUCGGGUCGUAAAGCCCUGUCAAGUGGGAAGAAACGUGAUGAGAUCAAUACCCUCAUCAUUUGACGGUACCACUGGAGGAAGCACCGGCUAACUCCGUGCCAGCAGCCGCCGUAAGAC